AGCGCAGGCGGGAAGACAAGUUGGAAGUGAAAUCUAUGGGCUCAACCCAUAAACUGCUUUCAAAACUGUUUUUCUUGAGUAGUGCAGAGGUAGGCGGAAUUCCCGGUGUAGCGGUGGAAUGCGUAGAUAUCGGGAGGAACACCAAUGGCGAAGGCAGGUCUCUGGGCCGUCACUGACGCUGAGGAGCGAAAGCGUGGGGAGCGAACA
rnacentral:rRNA from 1 species